CCCUAGCUGGAAGAAGCGAUUUAUUAGACCAAGACCAAUGGGGCCUCCUUCGUGGGGUCCCUCCUAAUGGUGACUCUGGAUAACUGAGCUAAUCGCAUGGGCCUCAGCGCCGACGAUGAGUCUUUCAAGUGUCUGCCUUAUGCAACUUUGCGAUGGUAGGUUAUGCGCCUUCCAUGGUUGUAACGGGGUAAGCGGGGAAUCAGGGUUCGAUUCCGGAGAGGGAGCCUGAGAAAACGGCUACCACAUCCAAGGAAGGCAGCAGGCACGCAAAUUACCCACUCCCGGCACGGGGAGGUAGUGACGAAAAAUAACAAUAGCGGGACUCUUAUGAGGCCCCGUAAUUGGAAUGAGUACAAUCUAAAUCCUUUAACGAGGAUGCUAUUGGAGGGCAAGUGNGGU
rnacentral:rRNA from 1 species